GUCUAGAUAGCUCAGUGGCUAGAGCGUGGAGCUGAAAAUUCCUGAGUCAUGGGUUCGAAUCCCAUUCUGGACA
rnacentral:tRNA from 1 species